GGACGCUCCAUGCACCAUAUUUCAUACGUUAACAAUGCAAUUCAACCUUCAAACAAUAGUUAGAGAAAAAAAAUGUUCUAACAACAAAAUUCAGNNNNNNUCAGAUUUUUGCCUAGAAAUGGAGAUAAUGCACAAAAAGGAUCUAUCUUUCUCAAAUACUUUAGGUGGGUACAACAGCCCCAGAAUGGGGUGACAUCUGCAAAACUAAUAACCAAAAGACCAACAUAAGCAAACUCAACUGGAUAAAGAAACAUGAAGUAACCUUACAUACUCUCCUCUGCAUCUUCAACACCUCUUCAGUCCCUAAAAUAUCUCUGCAAUAUGUUUCCACCUCCUCCGCUUGUUUCUUAAGCAUUGAGGCCUUCCUCUCUGCCUCCCCAAGCUUGUUCAGCAUUUGUGCUUGCUCACCAGAUAAGGCUUCCUGUUGUUCAAAGAGAGUGAGCUGAUCACUGGCAGCAACUCUCAACUUCUGCACCAUCAUCGACAGGGUUAAAUACUCAACCUCAGCCUCAAUCUUUUGCUUGAAUAGACCCUCAAGCUCAGUUUCAAUCUCUCUAGAUUUCUCAUGCUGCAACUCCAUGGUGUUUCCUGAUUCUUCUGUUGGUGACUUGCCACUAAUCAAGGUAUUUUCGAGUUCUACAAUCCUGGACUCCUUUACAUUAAGCAUUGUGUUUGCCUCCUCCAGUUUGGUUUCCAAAUAUUUUACAUUUUCUGUCAAGCUUAACACUUGAGAUUCUAAGGAACUUGAUCGUCUGAUCUUUUCAGAAUCAAACUGGUCAGAUGAGCUUGACUCAUGGAUUCCCCUGUCAGCUGAAGUGGAAUCUAGUGGAACACUGCUAAUCUUCCCAAUUUCCUCAAAUUUUCGAACCUCACUUUCAAGGACUUCCUGCACUGUUUGGAGGAUAAUAAGAGACUCAACCAAAGGAUCGUGAUCUGUAGUGGGCUGAUGGUUCUCACUUUUCUCUUCCUUAUCCUCCCAAGAAGCAUCUGCAGCUAAAUCAUCUUGUGAAGCAUUUUUAACUUCUCCCACAUUCUCUUGGCCAUAAACAGUCUGAACUUCUUCACUGAACUGUUGCUCACCUGCAUGGCCAUCAUC
rnacentral:misc_RNA from 1 species